rnacentral:rRNA from 1 species
GGAUAACCUACCCUUAGGACCGGGAUAACCUUGGGAAACUGAGGCUAAUACCGGAUAGGCAAUUUUUCCUGUAAUGGUUUUUUGUUUAAAUGUUUUUUCGCCUAAGGAUGGGUCUGCGGCCGAUUAGGUAGUUGGUUAGGUAAUGGCUUACCAAGCCGUUGAUCGGUACGGGUUGUGAGAGCAAGAGCCCGGAGAUGGAACCUGAGACAAGGUUCCAGGCCCUACGGGGUGCAGCAGGCGCGAAACCUCCGCAAUGUGAGAAAUCGCGACGGGGGGAUCCCAAGUGCCAUUCUUAACGGGAUGGCUUUUCAUUAGUGUAAAAAGCUUUUGGAAUAAGAGCUGGGCAAGACCGGUGCCAGCCGCCGCGGUAACACCGGCAGCUCUAGUGGUAGCAACUUUUAUUGGGCCUAAAGGGUCCGUAGCCGGUUUAAUAAGUCUCUGGUGAAAUCCUGUAGCUUAACUGUGGGAAUUGCUGGAGAUACUAUUAGACUUGAGACCGGGAGAGGUUGGAGGUACUCCCAGGGUAGAGGUGAAAUUCUGUAAUCCUGGGAGGACCGCCUGUUG